rnacentral:rRNA from 1 species
CCUACGGGAGGCAGCAGUGGGGGAUAUUGCACAAUGGGGGGAACCCUGAUGCAGCGACGCCGCGUGGGUGAAGAAGCGCCUCGGCGCGUAAAGCCCUGUCAGCAGGGAAGAAAAUGACGGUACCUGAAGAAGAAGCCCCGGCUAACUACGUGCCAGGAGCCGGGGGAAUACGGAGGGGGCAACCGUUAUCCGGAUUUAAUGGGUGUAAAGGGGGCGCAGACGGCGAUGCAAGCGAGGAGUGAAAGCCCGGGGCCCAACCCCGGGACUGCGCUUGGAACUGCGUGGCUGGAGUGGAGGAGGGGCAUGCGGAAUGCCUGGUGUAGCGGUGAAAUGCGUAGAUAUCAGGAGGAACACCGAUGGCGAAGGCGGCCUGCUGGACUGCAACUGACGUUGAGGCCCGAAAGCGUGGGGAGCAAACAGGAUUAGAUACCCCUGUAGUC